rnacentral:rRNA from 1 species
CCAGGUCUUGACAUCCUCUGACAACCCUAGAGAUAGGGCUUUCCCUUCGGGGACAGAGUGACAGGUGGUGCAUGGUUGUCGUCAGCUCGUGUCGUGAGAUGUUGGGUUAAGUCCCGCAACGAGCGCAACCCUUGAUCUUAGUUGCCAGCAUUCAGUUGGGCACUCUAAGGUGACUGCCGGUGACAAACCGGAGGAAGGUGGGGAUGACGUCAAAUCAUCAUGCCCCUUAUGACCUGGGCUACACACGUGCUACAAUGGACAGAACAAAGGGCUGCGAGACCGCAAGGUUUAGCCAAUCCCACAAAUCUGUUCUCAGUUCGGAUCGCAGUCUGCAACUCGACUGCGUGAAGCUGGAAUCGCUAGUAAUCGCGGAUCAGCAUGCCGCGGUGAAUA